rnacentral:lncRNA from 1 species
AUCAUUUUUAGGCAUCUCUUACAGGUUUUGCCUUUGAAUAAACGCAAUAAAAAUAAAGUAGUAGGUCCUGGGGUUAAUCUAAACUACAUUCAACUCCCCCAGGCCCUAUCAUGAUACCUUGAGUACCUUUUUGACUUUUUUAAGCCUCAGCAAUCUCAUCUGUAAGUCUGGAGAUGGUAACUUCUAGCUUAUAGAUUUAUUGUUGUGAAGGACGAAGAGAUGAUGUGGAUAACUCCUCAGUGCUGGGGUUAUCUAGUCUGACUUUGGUAAAUGUAUUAUUAUCGCUUCCCAAGGGCACACAGCUUCUAAGUGGCAGAUUCAGGGCUCAAACCGAAGUCUGUUUUCAAACCCUAGCUCCUGGCCGCCCGCGCCGCACCGCCUCACUAGCGCCCUCUUGCGCUAGUUCUAUGCUCCAAGCACACUUCGGAUUCUUUGACUUCCCCUGUAAGAACACAGCGUGCUGAUCAACAAACCAGAGCAUCUGCUUCUAUUUAUAACUCUAAGUAGAAAAUUGACAUUCAGCUUUUAUAAAUACUUUUAAAAAACAGGAACAGGCUGCAAGUCUUUUGAUUUGGAAACUCUUGAGUAGCAAGGAGAAGGCUCAGAAGGCCACAAGGAAUCCAUACUGCUUACAGAGGGAGGGAGGGCAGGCUUUGGCCCCAGCAACUCAUCAAGAUGACUGCCGUGUAAAGGGGCUUGGCUGUUGAUGCUCCCAGCCAAGGAAGGAAGGUAGCCAACAGCAUCCAGAGACAGGUGUGAACAGCAUUUGAGACUUGAAGAAUCAGUCUCCCAAAGGAGCAUCAGAGCAGAUUUUGAUGCUGGCACCAGCCUUUGACUUCUGCUUGGCUGGCCCCAUCUCUUAGAUCCCUGCUUGACUGACAGCCCAAUUCUGUCGAGCCCUUCUCUAUAACGGUCAUUACAAACAACCCUGA